GACGAACGCUGGCGGCAGGCCUAACACAUGCAAGUCGAACGAGUGGCGGAAGGGUGAGUAAUGUCUGGGAAUCUGCCUGAUGGAGGGGGAUUACUACUGGACACGGUCGCUAAUACCGCAUACCCUCAGAAGCGCCUAGAUGGGAUUAGCUAGUUGGUGGGGUAAGGGAUCACCAAGGCGACGAUCCCUAGCUGGUCUGAGAGGAUGACCAGCCACACUGGAACUGAGACACGGGCCAGACUCCUGCGGGAGGCAGCAGUGGGGAAUAGUGCACAAUGGGCGCAAGCCUGAUGCAGCCAGGCCGCUUGUAUGAAGAAGGCCUUCGGGUUGUAAAGUACUUACAGCGGGGAGGCGUUACCCGCAGAAGAAGCACCGGCUAACUCCGUGCCAGCAGCCGCGGUAAUAC
rnacentral:rRNA from 1 species